rfam:Lepisosteus oculatus linkage group LG16, whole genome shotgun sequence.
GCCAGCAGUCAUAUCACACUACAAAUCACAACUGACAACUCACUGACACUCAGCAGGUGUGAGCCUGGUCAGUACCUGGAUGGGAGACCUUCUUGGAAAAACUAAGGUUGCUGCUGGAA